UGGGAAGUGAUGACACUCGUGAGCCCUGACAUGGUGCUGAUGCCUCAGUAUUCGUACUGGCUGAUCCUG